rnacentral:piRNA from 1 species
UGAUGCCAACUACAAGUGAACUAGCU